AUUGAACGCUGGCGGCAGGCUUAACACAUGCAAGUCGAGCGGAGAUGAGGUGCUUGCACCUUAUCUUAGCGGCGGACGGGUGAGUAAUGCUUAGGAAUCUGCCUAUUAGUGGGGGACGACAUUCCGAAAGGAAUGCUAAUACCGCAUACGUCCUACGGGAGAAAGCAGGGGAUCUUCGGACCUUGCGCUAAUAGAUGAGCCUAAGUCGGAUUAGCUAGUUGGUGGGGUAAAGGCCUACCAAGGCGACGAUCUGUAGCGGGUCUGAGAGGAUGAUCCGCCACACUGGGACUGAGACACGGCCCAGACUCCUACGGGAGGCAGCAGUGGGGAAUAUUGGACAAUGGGGGGAACCCUGAUCCAGCCAUGCCGCGUGUGUGAAGAAGGCCUUAUGGUUGUAAAGCACUUUAAGCGAGGAGGAGGCUACCUGGAUUAAUACUCUAGGAUAGUGGACGUUACUCGCAGAAUAAGCACCGGCUAACUCUGUGCCAGCAGCCGCCGUAAAAC
rnacentral:rRNA from 1 species